CCUACGGGAGGCAGCAGUGGGGAAUAUUGGACAAUGGGGGGAACCCUGAUCCAGCCAUGCCGCGUGUGUGAAGAAGGCCCUCGGGUUGUAAAGCACUUUCAGUGAGGAAGAACGCCUGGUGGUUAAUACCCAUCAGGAAAGACAUCACUCACAGAAGAAGCACCGGCUAACUCCGUGCCAGCAGCCGCGGUAAUACGGAGGGUGCGAGCGUUAAUCGGAAUUACUGGGCGUAAAGCGCGCGUAGGUGGCUUGAUAAGCCGGUUGUGAAAGCCCCGGGCUCAACCUGGGAACGGCAUCCGGAAUGGUAAAGUUGGAGGGAAGGGGAGGAAGGGAGAAUCCCCGGGUUGCGGGUGAAAGGGGUGGAGAUCGGGAGGAAUACCGGGGGCGAAGCGGGCUUUCUGGACGGACACUGACACUGAGGUGCGAAGCGUGGGUAGCAAACAGGAUUAGAUACCCUUGUAGUC
rnacentral:rRNA from 1 species